AAAAUUACUGGCGGGGAGAUACCAGGAUCAUGAAGGUGGUUUUCCCAGGGUGAGGCUCAUCCAUUGCACUCCAGAUGUGCUGACCCCUGCAAUGUCCCCAGAUGUGGGAAACUGGACUGCAAAAUUUGUGGUAGUGGGGGACUGUGUUUGUGCUUUCUCCUG